GGGGAUGUAGCUCAGUGGUAGAGCACAUGCCUAGUAUGCACAGGGAUCUGAGUUUGAUCCCCAGCACCA
rnacentral:tRNA from 1 species